rnacentral:tRNA from 1 species
ACACCUCCCUUUACUA